CUCUGAUACGAGCCGAUUUCAGGAAAGUUCUAGAUUUAUCUGAAGUUCUAGUUUUGUCAAAUAAUUUAUAUAUAAAUAUAUAUUUUGUAGCUUCGUCUUGAAACGAUUGCUUGAAAUUUGAGCUAAAAUAAUACAGGUGACAGUUCACAAUGGUGAAAGAAACUGCUUACUACGACAUCCUUGGAGUGAAACCUCGUGCUACCCCAGAUGAGAUCAAAAAGGCAUAUAGAAAGCUUGCUUUAAAAUUUCACCCCGACAAAAACCCAGAUGAUCCGAACACGUUCAAACAGAUCAGCAUGGCAUACGAAGUUCUGUCCGACGCAAAGAAGCGAGAGGUGUAUGACAGAGGAGGGGAGGAGGCCAUCAAGGGUGGGGGGUCAUCCGGCGGGGGUUUCCACUCACCCAUGGACAUCUUUGAUAUGUUUUUUCACAGCGGGGGGAACCGGGGCAGGGGCCGGCAGAAACAUAAGGACGUGAUACACCCAGUGAGUGUGACACUGGAAGAGCUGUAUAAGGGGUCAACACGCAAACUGGCCCUGCAGAAGAAAGUCAUAUGUCCCAAGUGUGAUGGUCAGGGAGGUAAGGAUGUCGAGAAGUGCGGUCCGUGUCGCGGUACCGGCACCAAGGUGAUCAUACAGCAGCUUGGCAUCGGGAUUGUCCAGCAGAUGCAGACCAUGUGUUCAGACUGCCAGGGCGAGGGAGAGAAGAUCAGUCCGAAAAACCGCUGCAAGAACUGUCAGGGUCAUAAGACAAUUAAGGAAAGGAAAAUCUUGGAAGUUCACAUCGAUCCUGGUAUGAAAGAUGGACAACAGGUGUGUUUUACCGGGGAGGGAGAUCAAGAGCCGGGGCUUGAACCGGGGGACGUGAUCAUCGUGUUAGAGGAGCAGCGUCACGCCGUGUUCAAGCGGAAAGGUCACGACCUCAUCAUGACCAUGGAGAUUGAGCUAGUUGAGGCUCUCUGCGGCUUCCACAAACAGAUAGAGACACUGGAUAAACGUAUAUUGUCAGUAAAAUCUUUCCCAGGUGAAGUGAUACCCCACGGUACCAUCAAGUGUAUAUUGAACGAAGGCAUGCCACACUAUCGAAACAUCAUAGAAAAGGGUCGGCUCAUCAUACAGUUUCACGUGAAUUUCCCACCGGACAAUUUCCAACCGGCUGACAAACUUGAAAAGCUGGAGAAGUUGUUACCUGCGCGACCAGAUGUGAUUGAGCCGGAUGACUGUGAAAUAUGUACACUGUCUGUGAUGGACCCAGAGGAAGAGCAACGGAGGCAUCGUGGCGAGGCAUACGACUCGGACGAUGAAACACGUGGACAGAGAGUCCAGUGUGCGCAGCAUUAACGUAGAUGUCGGUGGCGUGGUCGGGAGGGCGAGCGAUCGUGGAUGGUUUCACUGGUACCAUUGUCUUCUAGCGUUUAGCAUUAGGCGCAGAAACCAGUCCUGAACAUGCCUCUGUUUAUGCUGUGAAAAAGACCAGUCGUGAAUUGGAAUGUAUACAUAUCACAGUUUAACUGUAAUACAUGUAGGUCUAGGAUGUAUACGUAUCACAGUUUAACUGUAAUACAUGUAGGUCUAGGAUGUAUAAGACAGGUUUUACUGUUAAGACGGGUUUUACUGUUAUGAAAUCUGUUCUGUUGAGUAUCGGAGCGAGGGCCUAUAUUAUUUGUUCUGUUGAGUAUCGGAGCGAGGGCCUAUAUUAUUUGAACCCAUCUUAGCACUACGAAAUUGUAAAAACCAUCGUACGUUAUUAUAUCACUAUGACGUAUGCUAUAGUGACGUCAUAGCCUACAAUGGUUUUACGAUAUCGUAGCACUAAGAUAGCUUCGAAAAUCAUUAGCCAGGAUUGAUGUAUAAAUGGAAUUCCAGGAUGAAUGUAUUAAAGAAGGUCAGGAUUGAUGUACAAAAUAGGUUGAGGAUUAAUGUAUAGGUUUUACGAUAAUGAGGCAAGGAUAAUGUAUAAAUUACAGCUUGAUUGUUGCAGGUCAAGAAUUAAUAUAAAGUUUAUUUUGUUUAACGACACCCACUAGAGCACAUUGGUUUAUUAAUCAUCAGCUAUUGGAUGUCAAACAUUUGGUAAUUUUGACAUAUAGUCUCCGAGAGGCAACCCGCUACAUUUUUCAAUUAGUAACGAGGAAUCUUUUAUAAUCGCCAUCCCACAGACAGGAUAGUACAUACCAUGGCCUUUGAUAUAUACCAGUCGUGGCACACUGGCUGGAACGAGGAUUAAUACAUCAUAAUUUUAACUGUAGCAAGUCCAGAAUUGAUGUAUACAUUAGUUGUAAAUAUACCAGUCAAUUCCAGGUUGACUGUCACAGUGCCAGGAAUGAUGUGCACAUCAGUUUUAAUUGUAAAAGUAAACUGAAGUUGGACUGUUACAGACCAGGGCCCAUAUUUUCGAAGCUAUCUUAGCCUACGAAAUCGUGAAAUCAUCGUAAGCUAUGACGUCGCAACCUACGACGGUUUUACGAUUUCGUAGCGCUAAGAUGGCUUCGAUAAUAGAGCCCCAGGAUCAAUUUUAACUGUGACAGUAAAUUACAGUUUGACAGUCAAAGAACUAGGAUUAAUGUAAACAUUACAGUUUUAACUGUAAAAGUAAAUUAAAGUUUUAACUCUAAAAGUAAAUUAAAGUUUCACUCUAUCUUGGUUUUAAAUGUAAAGGUAAAUUCAAACGAGUGUUACAGGCUCAGGAUUAAUAUAUACAUAUACAUCACUGUUUUAACUGUAACAGUAAAUUGCAGUUCAACUGUCAGAGGGCCAUGAUUAAUGUAAGUGUUACAGUUUUAACUGUAACAGGGCCAGGAUUUGUGCAUGUAUCACAGAACUACAUAUUAUUGUAUUACUUUUGAAAAGUAUACAAGUAUAAAAUGUUAUUAACAGGGGCUUGAUUAAUAUAUAAAUUGCAGUUUAUCAUAGUAUUAACAUAUACAGGGUUUUAUUUCAAACAUUUGACUUGACACCCAUAGCUUUGAAAUUGAGAUUUUUCAGUUUCAUUUCAAAAACAUCUUAUUAAGCCAAGUUAGAAUUUAAAAAGUAAUGUUGUAUAUAUGUAUAUACAUGUACUUGUGUUUAUUCAAAUAAAUAUAUCUAUUGUGGCAUUACAAAACGUUCUUGGGGAGGGAAGGUUUGUGAAGUGAAUGAGAUUUACAUUCAGAUUGGGAAUUUUCUACUAUGAAAUUGAAACGACAUUGGUGGGGAAUGGUGCCCAUUAUCGAAGUCUAUAAACAUAGGUGAUAAAACCCUGAUACAUAAAUCAGUUCAACUGUUACAGAGUCAGUAUUAAUGUAUAAAUUAGUUAAAUUGUUACAGGGCCAAGAUUAGAUUAGAUUUACUAUAAUAUGGUAAAGCAUUACGGUAUACAUGAAGAGUUUUAUUGAAAAACGCGAUAAACGCCCCAAUACACACCCACUCCUAAAAACGUUUUAUUCCAAACCACCAUAAACACUGUGCCAGUUUCUCUGUAAUCUGCGAUAUAUUCUCAGACAGUCGUAUCACGUUUUGCUGAAAACUGAAUUUGAACUUGUGUUUGUCUACGUGUGAACAGCGUCCGAGUGGUGUUCGCACAAUGGUUUUUAAUAUGGUGUUUAUCAUGUUUUGCGUUGAAACUCUUCACAUGUAAGUUACAAUUUAAUUGUAACAGGUCCAGGAUUUAUGUAUAAAACAUAGUUUGUUUCAGGUGCUGGAUUAACCUACAUGUAUGCAAGUACGUCACCGUUUCCCUGUUACAGGGCCAGAAUUAAUAUAUUAAUCACAGUUUAGCUGUUAAAGGCUUGUGAUGAAUUCCAGUGGAAAAAAAAAAAAAAGGACUGAUGUGAUACGGAAAAAUAUCCCUGCGUUGUGAGGAUGCGAUUUCAAAGUUUCUGUUUGUCUUUCAGUACUACAUGUAUAUACAUGUAGUAAAUAUGAGUGAUUAAAUGAGGCCUCUGAACAUUCAACACAAAACAGUUUUGUUCACCCAUCCCAAAAUGAAAUUGGUUAAAUUAAGUAACGUGUUACGAAGUUUGUUUUGUUUAACAACACCACUAGAGCACAUUGAUAAUUAAUCAUCGGCUAUUGGAUGGCGUGUUACGAGACUAGACCACUCAUAAACAGUGACUGGUACCAUUGUCUUUUAUCAUAUAUCACAUUUAUGUAACGUUAGGUCAGUGAGUGACAGCGAUUACAGGGUUCGAAACUCGCCAGAAAAUAUGGUGGGCCAAAAAAUAAUGAUGCAUGUUGGCAAAUUAUGGUAAGCGAACCACAAGCAAGAUUUUAAUGUGGAAUACAAAUAUUAACAGUGGCUCAUAUGUUAUAGCUCUAAAGAAGAUAAUAUUAUUUGGGCGACUAACUCCAUUAGUUUUUUAAUAUUUAAGUCGCCCAAUCAGGACAUUGGUCGCAUUUGGUGACCUGGCCACAGGCCGUUUUCAGCCCUGGAUUAACUGCCUUCCGUAGCAUAUCCCUCUUAAAUGGUUUUUUGCAUUUGCGUAAUCCAUACAUGAUUUAUUCAAAUGUACAAUUCUCAGAGGCCAGUAAAUGGAAUGCAGACCACUGUACAAGUACAUGUAUGGAACAGACGGUACAAUUUUGAAAUAAAAAAACAUGUUUGAAAUACUGUAUA
rnacentral:misc_RNA from 1 species